rnacentral:rRNA from 1 species
GGGUUGUGAGGUUAAGCGACUAAGCGUACACGGUGGAUGCCCUGGCAGUCAGAGGCGAUGAAGGACGUGCUAAUCUGCGAUAAGCGUCGGUAAGGUGAUAUGAACCGUUAUAACCGGCGAUUUCCGAAUGGGGAAACCCAGUGUGAUUCGUCACACUAUCAUUAACUGAAUCCAUAGGUUAAUGAGGCGAACCGGGGGAACUGAAACAUCUAAGUACCCCGAGGAAAAGAAAUCAACCGAGAUUCCCCCAGUAGCGGCGAGCGAACGGGGAGGAGCCCAGAGCCUGAAUCAGUGUGUGUGUUAGUGGAAGCGUCUGGAAAGGCGCGCGAUACAGGGUGACAGCCCCGUACACAAAAAUGCACAUACUGUGAGCUCGAUGAGUAGGGCGGGACACGUGGUAUCCUGUCUGAAUAUGGGGG